rnacentral:lncRNA from 1 species
CGGCCCAAUAUUAUAAAGACUUAACAAAGAUAAUAUAAGGACUAAGCCCAAUAACUUUAGGAUCCAAUAAUGAUGACCCAAUGGACUAACCGAAUAAGUAGGCCCAAUCCCUUCGGCCCAAUAUGUGAAAUAUCAUGACCCAACAUUGCCCCCUAGUUUUUUAUUAAACAGAAUGUUUAAUAAGAAACUAUAAAUGGUGUAUGAUAUGAUAGGACUUACUAAAGGCCCAUAAUGAAAGUAAUUAAAAU